rnacentral:rRNA from 1 species
AUUGAACGCUGGCGGCAGGCCUAACACAUGCAAGUCGAGCGGAUGAGGGGAGCUUGCUCCUGGAUUCAGCGGCGGACGGGUGAGUAAUGCCUAGGAAUCUGCCUGGUAGUGGGGGAUAACGUCCGGAAACGGGCGCUAAUACCGCAUACGUCCUGAGGGAGAAAGUGUGGGAUCUUCGGACCUCACGCUAUCAGAUGAGCCUAGGUCGGAUUAGCUAGUUGGUGGGGUAAAGGCCUACCAAGGCGACGAUCCGUAACUGGUCUGAGAGGAUGAUCAGUCACACUGGAACUGAGACACGGUCCAGACUCCUACGGGAGGCAGCAGUGGGGAAUAUUGGACAAUGGGCGAAAGCCUGAUCCAGCCAUGCCGCGUGUGUGAAGAAGGUCUUCGGAUUGUAAAGCACUUUAAGUUGGGAGGAAGGGCAGUAAGUUAAUACCUUGCUGUUUUGACGUUACCAACAGAAUAAGCACCGGCUAACUUCGUG